rnacentral:rRNA from 1 species
CACGUAGGGGGCGAGCGUUGUCCGGAUUUAUUGGGCGUAAAGAGCUCGUAGGCGGCUCAGUAAGUCGGGUGUGAAAACUCCAGGCUCAACCUGGAGACGCCACCCGAUACUGCUGUGGCUAGAGUCCGGUAGGGGAGCAUGGAAUUCCUGGUGUAGCGGUGAAAUGCGCAGAUAUCAGGAGGAACACCCGUGGCGAAGGCGGUUCUCUGGGACGGUACUGACGCUGAGACGCGAAAGCGUGGGGAGCGAACAGG